GAUGAACGCUGACAGAAUGCUUAACACAUGCAAGUCCACUUGAACUUCGGUUUGGGUGGCGGACGGGUGAGUAACGCGUAAAGAACUUGCCUCACAGAUAGGGACAACAUUUGGAAACGAAUGCUAAUACCUGAUAUUAUGAUUAUAUGGCAUCGUAUAAUUAUGAAAGCUAUAUGCGCUGUGAGAGGGCUUUGCGUCCCAUUAGCUAGUUGGAGAGGUAACGGCUCACCAAGGCGAUGAUGGGUAGCCGGCCUGAGAGGGUGAUCGGCCACAAGGGGACUGAGACACGGCCCUUACUCCUACGGGAGGCAGCAGUGGGGAAUAUUGGACAAUGGACCAAGAGUCUGAUCCAGCAAUUCUGUGUGCACGAUGAAGUUUUUCGGAAUGUAAAGUGCUUUCAGUUGGGAAGAAAAAAAUGACGGUACCAACAGAAGAAGUGACGGCUAAAUACGUG
rnacentral:rRNA from 1 species